CGAACGGGUGAGUAACACGUGGGCAACCUGCCCAAAAGAGGGGGAUAACACUUGGAAACAGGUGCUAAUACCGCAUAACCAUAGUUACCGCAUGGUAGCUAUGUAAAAGGUGGCUAUGCUACCGCUUUUGGAUGGGCCCGCGGCGCAUUAGCUAGUUGGUGGGGUAAAGGCUUCCCAAGGCAAUGAUGCGUAGCCGAACUGAGAGGUCGAUCGGCCACAUUGGGACUGAGACACGGCCCAAACUCCUACGGAAGGCAGCAG
rnacentral:rRNA from 1 species